UACAGAGGUCUCAAGCGUUGUUCGGAUUCAUUGGGCGUAAAGGGUGCGUAGGCGGCGCGGUAAGUCGGGUGUGAAAUCUCGGGGCUUAACUCCGAAACUGCAUUCGAUACUGCCGUGCUUGAGGACUGGAGAGGAGACUGGAAUUUACGGUGUAGCGGUGAAAUGCGUAGAGAUCGGGAGGAACACCAGUGGCGAAGGCGGCCUUCUGGACCAGUACUGACGCUGAGGCACGAAAGCGUGGGGAGCAAACAGG
rnacentral:rRNA from 1 species